rnacentral:rRNA from 1 species
UACGGGGGGGGCAAGCGUUGUUCGGAAUUACUGGGCGUAAAGGGCUCGUAGGUGGCCAACUAAGUCAGACGUGAAAUCCCUCAGCUUAACCGGGGAACUGCGUCUGAUACUGGAUGGCUUGAGUUUGGGAGAGGGACGCGGAAUUCCAGGUGUAGCGGUGAAAUGCGUAGAUAUCUGGAGGAACACCGGUGGCGAAGGCGGCGUCCUGGACCAACACUGACACUGAUGAGCGAAAGCCAGGGGAGCAAACGGG